UACAGAGGUCCCAAGCGUUGUUCGGAUUCAUUGGGCGUAAAGGGUGCGUAGGUGGCGCGCUAAGUCAGGUGUGAAAUUUCGGAGCUUAACUCCGAAACUGCAUUUGAUACUGGCGUGCUUGAGGACUGGAGAGGAGACUGGAAUUUACGGUGUAGCAGUGAAAUGCGUAGAGAUCGUAAGGAAGACCAGUGGCGAAGGCGGGUCUCUGGACAGUUCCUGACACUGAGGCACGAAGGCCAGGGGAGCAAACGGG
rnacentral:rRNA from 1 species